rnacentral:rRNA from 1 species
CUACGGGGGGCUGCAGUGGGGAAUAUUGCACAAUGGGCGCAAGCCUGAUGCAGCCAUGCCGCGUGUAUGAAGAAGGCCUUCGGGUUGUAAAGUACUUUCAGCGGGGAGGAAGGGAGUAAAGUUAAUACCUUUGCUCAUUGACGUUACCCGCAGAAGAAGCACCGGCUAACUCCGUGCCAGCAGCCGCGGUAAUACGGAGGGUGCAAGCGUUAAUCGGAAUUACUGGGCGUAAAGCGCACGCAGGCGGUUUGUUAAGUCAGAUGUGAAAUCCCCGGGCUCAACCUGGGAACUGCAUCUGAUACUGGCAAGCUUGAGUCUCGUAGAGGGGGGUAGAAUUCCAGGUGUAGCGGUGAAUGCGUAGAGAUCUGGAGGAAUUCCGGUGGCGAAGGCGGCCCCCUGGACGAAGACUGACGCUCAGGUGCGAAAGCGUGGGGAGCAAACAGGAUUAGAUACCCUAGUAGUC